UGGGGAAUUUUGGACAAUGGGCGAAAGCCUGAUCCAGCCAUGCCGCGUGAGUGAAGAAGGCCUUCGGGUUGUAAAGCUCUUUCAGGUGGAAAGAAAGCGGAUGGGCUAAUACCCUGUUCGGAUGACGGUACCACCAGAAGAAGCACCGGCUAACUACGUGCCAGCAGCCGCGGUAAUACGUAGGGUGCGAGCGUUAAUCGGAAUUACUGGGCGUAAAGCGUGCGCAGGCGGUUGUGUAAGACAGGUGUGA
rnacentral:rRNA from 1 species